GAAAUAUUGAAAAAAUAACAACAUUUACCUAGUUAUUCGGAUCUGUGGAGAGUUUUUCGCUACACGUUACCAAAUCAAUAAUUACAUUUCUGUCAAUUUGUGUCAAAUGUGGGAAAACUGUGUCAUUAGUUGCCGGAAGCAUGUGUAAAGUCGUGGGAAGUUGUCUUCGUUGUGGCCCUGAAUGCGCGGAUGUAGGUGUUGAUGCUCUGGGAAGCAUGUGUGAUGUGGGAGGCAUUUGUGAUGGCGUGGGAAGCUGUAUUGGUGGUUGCCUCGAGUGUAUUUGUCACUGUUUAUGUCAAUCUUUAUGUUUAGCUUGUGCUGAUCCACUUACAUGGUUAUUUAAAAAUAAAUUAGUAUAACUAGAAAAUAAAUUAAAACGUUUCAGGUGAAGAUGAUGAUUGAUCAUCUUCAUCAUCAAGGAUAUUAUUAGUAAUCAUUAGGUAAACUAACAUAAUCUUUAACAGAUAUUUGUACAUUUAAUUCUCAUAUUAUAGUAUAUCAUUCCUUAGAAAUUGUAUGAAAAUACAAAUCAUUUAACUCA